ACUGUAGCUAUAGCUACUAGCACUCGAUCGCUGGCGCAACAUUAUUCUUGCUUUGGGACUGGGAACGUUGAAGAACGGAGCGCGAGUUCGAGGUGAUAUUUAGCUAUUUCUUCGAGGACCGGUAUUGUAUUGUGGAUAUAUAUUCGACUCUGAAAACUUGUCAUCCCCAAUCAGAAAUGGCAGAGAGUGACUUAAAAGACAAUGAAGAAAAAGACUCUGGAGAAUCAGAUGAUCGCGGGUCAAUUUUGCAUGUUGUUGUGGUCGGUUUUCAUCACAAGCGAGGAUGCCAGGUUGAUUUUUCCUACCCUCCUCUGGUAGAAGGCAGUGCUGAAGAGAGUCAUGAUGUACCGAGUGAAUGGAAACAUCUCCCCUUCCUUGCCCUGCCAGACGGGGCUCAUAACUUUGAAGAAGAUACCAUAUUUUUUCAUUUGCCUGGCAGAGGGGAGUGUAAUUCUACGAUCUAUGGAGUAUCGUGCUACAGGCAAAUCAAGGCUCAGGAUCUUCUUUCAAAGACUGCUGAUAUGACUCGAGGAACUGUUCAGAAGUGUGUCUGUGUCCUCAGCAAGUUGCCAUUAUAUGGAUUGAUCCAGGCAAAGUUAGAGCUCAUCACUCAUGCAUACUUCUGUGAGCGGGAUUUCUCCAAGACAAAAAUACUUCAGGAGUUCUAUGAGAAUCUCAACAAUUGCAUACCGAGGACGAUACCUGACGAUUCUCAAGUGUUUCUUGGUCUGUCCUUGAGGGACUUGGUCACAACCUUCAAACACAAGAUCUUGGUAUUGUUCAAGUUAAUGAUGCUGGAGAGAAGGAUCCUCUUCUACACUUCUCCCGUUCAUAAACUCUGCAAUGCACUUCUUGCUAUCGUCUCAUUGUUCCCAGGUAUGAUCGAACGAGGUCUUGAGAAUUCGGCCUGUCCCAAGCACUACAACCCUCGUAUCUCAUCCAUUGAGCUCACAGAUUAUGGUAUCAACACGGACGACUACCUCGAUGUGAAGAUGUCACAUGUGCCCAAUUACAGUCACCAGAAGAGCCAGGAGAGCACUCCGGAAAAGAGCUGCGAUAGCGGUGAGAAGUGCUUGAGGACACCUCUGGGAGACCCUAAUGCAAACUCGAUAGAGGACGAAGGUGUGGGCACAACAAAGUCUGAAGGAAAAAUGAAUGACAACCUGUCAAGGACAAGUUCAUUUGAUAAGGAAAACAUUCCUGUGAUUCGACGGGACAGUGAAAGCAGGAAAGCCAGUCGGUCGCCUUCUCAGGGGUCAAGAGGUGGUGAUGAAUCAAAGGAGAAGGUUACGAAUGAUGUCUCACCUGAAGAAGAGCUCCUAGAUAUGAUUGACCAGGAGCUCUAUGGAGACUUCUUUGAGAACUCCAAAGGCAACAGUGAGGGCAGGUCAGAUUUGAACUCAGAGGAAAGGGACAAAGUCAGCGACUCUUUGGAAUCCAGGAAAGAGAGCAAUGCCUCCGACGAAACCAAAGAAGACAGUGAACUGCGGACGCAGAACCGGCUUCACCAGCACUCGGCUAGUAUUCAAUCCGGCGACAGUGGCAUUGGUAGCUGCCAAAGGUCAUCAACGGUCAGCAGUGGUCAAUCACAGGCAUUUGAAGAGGGUGUCAGGGAGAUGAAGAUGGAGAGAUUAAGCGGAGCUGAAGAUUAUGUAGUCCUUCCAAAUAUGCCACAGCAAGAGCCCAUGGAGCUGGAUCGCUUUGGCUUUCCACUUGCAAUAUUUGGAAAGGGUUCCUUGUGCCAUCCGUACAUGUCUCUUCAGCAGCACGACAUGCUACAAGACGUCAAUGUCAGGUCGUUUGUCAUCGGAGCAACAAAUGCUCUCUUCAAACACCAUAAGCAUCUCAUGGACGUCAUUGUGGAGGUUGAGGAAGGUAAAGUAAAUAUCUUAGACAAUGAACUGAGGAAGCAGGUGUCUUUAAGCACAGCUGAUCUGAGGUUUGCAGACUUCUUAAUCAAGAAUGUAACAGACCGCAGUGAUGUAUAUCUAGAUGGAACAGGAUGGGAAGGAAGUGAUGAAUGGAUAAGAGCACAGUUCAAACUCUACAUACUCUCUCUCUUAUCAACAUGUACAAGUAUUGGAACCUAUUCAGUGAGUGAAAUAGGAGACUUCAAUGAGAGUUUUGUGCAAGCUUGGAAAACAACUCAUAACUUCAGAAUGUGGAACAGUAAGGUUCAUCCUGGCAUCGAUCAAAUACAUACUGGGCAUCCCUUCCACGGUCACCUCAGUGUCAGCGAUAUGAAGAUUAGAUUAUCAAGGUGAGUAUUCACAGCAAACACUAUACACAGAUUUAGAAAGGAAGGCUACUAGGUAGAUUCUAGACCACAAUCCAAUUAGAAUUAGCUCGGACUUAUCUCUUUUUCACCUCACCUGAGAUUGCUCAUGUGGGGGCGUCGUGGUCUAGUAGUUAUGACUCUCGUCUGUCAUUCUGAGGGAUGUGGGUUCAAUUCCCAGCCAUCGCAUGUUUUCCUUCAGCAAGAAAUUUACCCACAUUGUGUUGCACUCAACCCAGGUGAGGUGAAUGGGUACCCGGUAGGAAGAAAUUCCUGGAAUGUCUGAGCUCUUAGGUAACCGAGCUAAUGCCGGGGUAAUAAUGAUAGCAGGGCCAGCUGGGAGAACAGUUUUCAGAAUUGAAGUGGCUGCCCUGGGUCAAUAUACAGAUAUUUUUAUAAUUAUUAUGAUUUUUUUUUGUGAAUGCUUUAUUGUUGAAAUGACAUUGGAAGGCAAAAGUCUGUGGAGAAGACUACACAAAGCCUUAAUUGAAAUAUACUCUAACUUAUAGAGGCUUACCCUAUGAACUAGGGACAGGUCCUGGAUUUACAAGACAGGAGGGCAGGGGAGCACUUU